UAAAGUCAAGAUGAUUUAGGGCAUUUUGUAAAAAGAAAUCUCAUGGAGGGCCCGUUUUUGUUUAAAGGCCCAAACUUAAAAGAAAUUUAGGGCUUUUUGUACGCCGUCGUCAUUUGUUCGAUCAGUCAUACGAAUGAAGAGACGAACGGAUGACGAAGGAACGGAGCUGAUGAACGAAGGCUCGUAGCGAUGAAGAAAGAGCAUUAAGGUUAGCAGCGAUGAAGAAGGAGCACGAAGGCUCGCAGCGGCUAAUCCGGAUGUCUUGGCCGAUCGCGAAGAGGGAGGCAUCUCUGUUUCGACGAGGCCGAACGAAGAGAAGGGAGAAGCACCGAGGCUGCUGUGGAGUUGGCAAAAGGAAGUGGAAUUGAAGUGGAGGAGAAGGGUGCGAGGGGAUGUACGAGAGGCGAGGCCAGAAGGGGAUUUCCGGGGAGUCUCGAUCGAUCGCAAGGAGGAACAACCUUCGGUGCUCGCCUGCUUCGAAAAAGGAGAGAGAAAGACGGGAGCGACAGCAGAGCUGUCGCCGGUUGCUUCCUCGACGAGGGCUGUUGUGGCAGUUCUUCUCCUGGUCCGAUCAAAAGUAAACACGAAGGAAAGGGGAAACAGCUGGAUUGAAGGGGGAAGACGAAUCAGCAAAAGCAAAGGGAAAGGAGUGUUUGCCUGCUUCGUUUGACAGUAAGCAAGGCGCAAAAACGACGGAGGAGAAAGAACGAGGGGGAGGAGGAGGGAUGUACAACCGCUUGUCGUUCUUCUUCUUUGGCUGAAGAUUCAUAAACGGGAAGGAAAGAAGAAGAUAUCAGUUUUUUUGGAUAGAUUUCAUUUUGAGUUUGAAGAUCAAAGAAAAUCUGAUCUUGACUGUACAAAAUUUGGUGUGAAUUGAAAGAGUGUUUGUGUGUAAUAUUGGGUGAAGAAAGAGUGCAAGCAAUCAAACAUUUUGGAUACUUUCUCGUCAUCAUCAUACUUCAUGUACUUGGAGUUCAAGAUGGCAAGUUAUAUAUGUGUAUUUUGGGAUAAUUUUGUAAGCAUGUAUAAGUCAAUAAGUAUGUAUUUUGUAUAUGUAUUGAUCCAUUGAUUUAUUGGAGUACAUAUUUGUGUGUA